GGCGCUGUUGGUGUAGGGGUUAAACGCGCGGCCCAUGUACUGAGGCUUUGGUUCUCAAUGCAGCGGUCCUGGGUUUGAGUCCCGGCCCCAGUGACA